rnacentral:rRNA from 1 species
UACAGAGGGGGCAAGCGUUAUUCGGAAUUACUGGGCGUAAAGGGUGCGUAGGCGGUUCGUUAAGUCUGUUGUGAAAUCCCCGGGCUCAACCUGGGAAUGGCAAUGGAUACUGGCGGGCUAGAGUGUGUCAGAGGAUGGUGGAAUUCCCGGUGUAGCGGUGAAAUGCGUAGAGAUCGGGAGGAACAUCAGUGGCGAAGGCGGCCAUCUGGGACAACACUGACGCUGAAGCACGAAAGCGUGGGGAGCAAACAGG